UACGUAGGGCGCAAGCGUUGUCCGGAAUUAUUGGGCGUAAAGAGCUCGUAGGCGGUUUGUCGCGUCUGUCGUGAAAGCUUGGGGCUUAACCCCAAGUCUGCGGUGGAUACGGGCAGACUAGAGGCAGGUAGGGGAGAACGGAAUUCCCGGUGUAGCGGUGAAAUGCGCAGAUAUCGGGAGGAACACCGGUGGCGAAGGCGGCCAGCUGGCGCUGACCUGACGCUGAGGCGCGAAGGCGUGGGGAGCGAACGGG
rnacentral:rRNA from 1 species